AGUGAACGCUGGCGGUAGGCCUAACACAUGCAAGUCGAACGGCAGCACAGUAAGAGCUUGCUCUUACGGGUGGUGAGUGGCGGACGGGUGAGGAAUACAUCGGAAUCUACUUUUUCGUGGGGGAUAACGUAGGGAAACUUACGCUAAUACCGCAUACGACCUACGGGUGAAAGCAGGGGAUCUUCGGACCUUGCGCGAUUGAAUGAGCCGAUGUCGGAUUAGCCAGUUGGCGGGGUAAAGGCCCACCAAGGCGACGAUCCGUAGCUGGUCUGAGAGGAUGAUCAGCCACACUGGAACUGAGACACGGUCCAGACUCCUACGGGAGGCAGCAGUGGGGAAUAUUGGACAAUGGGCGCAAGCCUGAUCCAGCCAUACCGCGUGGGUGAAGAAGGCCUUCGGGUUGUAAAGCCCUUUUGUUGGGAAAGAAAAGCAGCAGGUUAAUACCCCGCUGUUCUGACGGUACCCAAAGAAUAAGCACCGGCUAACUUCGUG
rnacentral:rRNA from 1 species